GAUUAGCCCCGAUUGAAGCGGCAUCCUUUUCAAUAGUUUUCAGCAUUUUAAAGGCUGGAAACUAUUGAAAAGAUAAAGCGGAAAGCGGGACUAGAU
rnacentral:sRNA from 1 species